CAAUAUAUAGGAGGUCUUACCUGCCCAGUGACUACAAGUUAAACGGCCGCGGUAUCCUAACCGUGCAAAGGUAGCGCAAUCACUUGUCUUUUAAAUAAAGACCCGUAUGAAUGGUAAAACGAGGGCCUAACUGUCUCCCCCUUCAAGUCAAUGAAAUUGAUCUGCCCGUGCAAAAGCGGACAUACCCCUACAAGACGAGAAGACCCUUUGGAGCUUAAGAUAUAAGACCAACUACGUCAAGAUCUUCGGUUGGGGCGACCACGGGAAAUAACAGAACUCCCAUGCGGACCGGGAAAAAAACUAAGAAUAACAUCUCUAAGCCACAGAACAUCUGACCAUCCCGUCGAUCAACGAACCAAGUUACCCUAGGGAUAACAGCGCAAUCCUCUUCCAGAGUCCCUAUCGACAAGAGGGUUUACGACCUCGAUGUUGGAUCAGGACAUCCUAAUGGUGCAGCCGCUAUUA
rnacentral:rRNA from 1 species